GCAGCGGGCGGCACCUGCGCCUGGCGGGGAGCGCCUGAACGUGGCAAAGUGCUGGGGCAGCACUUUGUGUGGUUAUGCAGGGAACAAAAGUUACUUGUGCAAAACCAUAAAGGAAGACAAGAGUUUAGAUGAAAUGAUCCAUCAUGGAAGGUUCAUCAAGCACCUACUACGUGCUGGGCACUGAGAAUCCAAUACAAUUUUGUUCCUGUGCCAAUGGAGCUUGCAGCUUAGUGGGAGCCACCAGCGCCCCCCCAGGAUGUGUGUAAGCGCAUAGGCCCAUCCGGCAGGCAGCCUCCAGCCCUUGCCUCUUGCCUUGCUGCUCAGGUAGGAAGAUGGAAUUUGGAGAAACUCAACAGUCACCAAGGAAAGAACUUCAGCGAUUAAUUCCGGGGGUGAGCGGUGUCCAAAGAAGCUGGAAAGUCUCCUCCCACCGCCCACCCUGGGAACCCCAGACCCGAAGGAGCAGCGGGGCUCUCUGUGUCAUGGAAAGCUGCCCGGUUUCCCCCAAAUGCCCUCGUGUGCCCAGAGGCAUGGGGUGCUGGCCCAGGAAGGCAGCCAGAAAGUCCAGCUGGGUCGUUUGCAUGGCAGGCGCUGACGCCCGGCUGCAGCCAGC